rnacentral:rRNA from 1 species
UACAGAGGGGGCAAGCGUUAUUCGGAAUUAUUGGGCGUAAAGGGCGCGUAGGCGGCCUGGCAAGUGGAAGGUGAAAUCCCUCGGCUUAACCGAGGAACUGCCCUCCAAACUGCUUGGCUUGAGACCGGGAGAGGUGAGUGGAAUUCCCAGUGUAGAGGUGAAAUUCGUAGAUAUUGGGAAGAACACCGAUGGCGAAGGCAGCCAUCUGGACCGACACUGACGCUGAGGCGCGAAAGCGUGGGGAGCAAACGGG